AUCCCUACAUCUAUCUCUCCCCCCUCUCUCUCUCUUGGGAUUCUCUCUCAGUCUUCUCUCUCUCUCAUCCUUCUCUCUCCUUCUCCUGUGCUUGACACUGCAUCUUCGGCAAUGCGUCCAUUUUCCCAUUCCUGCUCUCCGGCGGUGCAUCCCGCUUCCCAACCCUGCAACCCCGCGGUGCAUCCCCCUCAAUCUCCGGUUGUGCAUCCCUCUCAGCCGCCCGAUCCAUCCCUCUGUCGAUUUCUCUCCGGUGGUGCUUUGGGCAAUGACCAAACCGUCGGCCGGUGACCAGGCGUCGGACCAGUGAUCAGGUUUCAACCGGUAACCGGACCUCGUCCAUUGAAUAGCGAUAGCAUCAGAAGAUGACAGGCAGAGGAAGGGGAGUGGUGUUAGGCAGUGACUGUGUUGGUGUGUGAGGCUUCGUAGUCUGAGGCUGGCUGUUAACUGUUUGAGGAGGAAAUACUCAGUGAACGAUGACAAAGUAAGGGAUGUAGGAGAACAUACUCAGAACCACGUUAAAAUUCUGAGUGUUUUCAUCCUCUUACCUUUGCUUGUUUUCCAACAUGGUAUCAAAGCUCUCAUCCACCGCAAGACCCUAAUAUAGGGUGAAAAUCCUGUCAAUCGGACAGCAUCAGGCAAGGACGACCAGUGCAGUAGAAUCAUCCAAACCCAAGGUACUCUCCUACAUCUUUUUGAGACGCUGUGGUGCUGUUUUGAAGAAGAAACCGACCACAGCCGGAUUUGGGCAGAAAUCCACGGUGCUACAGGGCAUUCCACUGCCACAGUGACUGGUUCUUCAUUUUUUCAUUGAAUUUGGGAUUUUUCAGCAAUUUGAUGCAUUAAUCUUGCAGUUUAUCCUUUUAUCUGCAUGUUAUCGUCGCUUGAAGUUGAUUUCUAUUAUUGAUUACACAAGAUUUGAAUCAAUUUCGUGUGAUUUUUGGGCCCACUCUUUGGUGGUAGAGCAACACAGAAUAUAUGAGGCAGUGCUUUUUAUCCCUGGCGCUAGUUGCUGGAAAGGCAUUAGCAGUUGAGCAAGGAUCGACUGGAUUGCUAAGACACUGGAGAUCAACUAAAAAAGGUUUGGGAUUUUUUACUGAUUCCAUGAAUAAUCUGUAAUUUCUUGAAGUGUCCCCUGUUUCUGUAAAUAGACAGGGAGUGGCAGCGCCUGACUCCGGCACAAAGCCUGCUGGUACUGUCAGUUCCGACGACGGCAGAGGUCGAGCUAGGGCUCUUUGGAACUGCCUGAAAUUUUAAAAUUUUUGAAACAGGCGUUGAGGAGAUAUGAAUUUUUGAAUGACCCACUGUUGUUGUGACCCUCAAGAACCAGCAAAUAAUGCGUUUCUAGGAGUCAGGCGUGACUUCCAAGGAAGAGCAUUUUUCACUGAAGAUGAACUAGAGGUGGAGCAAGGUGGCGUUGGAUUCACGUUGAUGUCUAGUAUUUUUUGGAACAAUUUUCAGAAUUUUUGGAUGACCCUUUGAAGCGCUACAAAAUUUAUAAGUGCCGCAGGUUUUCUGAAAUUCCCGCCAACCUCCUGUGAGUUCCCUGUUUUUCUUUCUCAUUUUGGUUUGGGAGUUGACGUCCCUCAACUUGAUUGACUGGAAAUAAAUGUCAAUCUGCUGUCCUAUUGUUGCAAUUUCUACCUCUACUGUGUUCAUAUGAUUUGCUUGGAUUCAUUGAUGGUUCUAAACUAUGUCCAAACCAAUAUAUCACUAGUAGUGAUGGGAAAUCCAGUCCAUUAAUUCUGAGUAUGUGAUGUGGAUGAAACAAGACCAACUUCUCUUAAGUAGCAUCAUAUCUUUUUUGUUUGAAAUGGUUCUUGGACUUAAGACGUCAUAUAAAGUUUGGAAUGCUCUUAAAAGGUCCUAUGCUGCCCAUUCUCGCUCAAUAAUCAUGCAACUCAAGGAACAACUACAAAGGCUGGCAAAUGAAACUUAACUAUGGACGAUUAUUUCUAUAAAGCCAAGAUGUUGGCACAUCAUCUCGCUGUUGCUUCAAAACCUGUAGAAGAGGAAAAUUUAAUUAUGCAUAUCCUUAGAUGCCUUCCUCGCGAAUACUCAGCCUUCAAAACCUCUCUGACCACUCGCGUAGCUCCAAUAUCUCUCAGUGAUCUACAUGGCCUUCUUCUCACACAAGAAACAUAACUCAAAGAACAAGAUCUUGAUCAUGAAACAUUUGCUCCUGCUGCGCAUUAUGCCCAACCAUAUUCAGCAGGAAGGGAAAAUUUUAGACAGCCCUCAAUGCUUAAUAUAAGCCGAGGUCGAUGCAGGUAUGAUUUCGGACGUGGCAGAUCUGAUUAUGGUGGAAGAAAACGUAUUAUCUGUCAGUUUUGUGAUAAAUUGGCCCACAGUGCCAAGAAUUGCUUUAUGGAAGAAAACGUAUUAUCUGUUAGUUUUGUUAUAAAUUGGGCCACAGUGCCAAGAAUUGCUUUAAGUUAACAAGGAAAGAUCACACUGGAGCAACACCCAACUUGAAUACAUCAUCAUCCCCAAAUGCACAGGUAUAUCACUCUACUUCUCAGAUGUUAAAUGACGCAAAUUGGAUCCCUGACAUAGGAGCAACUCAUCACAUCACCAAUUCUCUUGGAUCGAUGACAAUUCAUGAACCUUAUGAAGGCAACGACACUGUUAAGGUUGGGGACGGAUCAGGACCAACGUACAGGGGUGGUGAUCCUAUAAGGAAGGAGUAACAACGGUCUCUAUCGCCUCCAACUCUCUCAACCAGAAAGCAAUCAGCAUAAACAAAGAAGGUGGCACUCUAUGAAGAAUGAACUACUAUUAGUAGAUGGCAUGCUAGACUUGGACACACUGCUUUGAAUAAUGUUCAUUUUAUUUUGAGACAAUUUAAACUUCCUUUUGAGAAUGAUGUCAAAAAGAAUAAUUUUUGAUAUGCUUGUCAAUCUGAAAAAUCA